rnacentral:rRNA from 1 species
UACGUAGGGGGCAAGCGUUGUCCGGAUUCACUGGGUGUAAAGGGCGCGCAGGCGGGUUAGCAAGUCAGAGGUGAAAUCCUACAGCUUAACUGUAGAACUGCCUUUGAGACUGUUAAUCUUGAGUAUGGAAUAGAGAGAUGGAAUUCCAGGUGUAGUGGUGAAAUACGUAGAUAUCUGGAAGAACACCAGUGGCGAAGGCGGUCUCUUGGUCCAUUACUGACGCUUAGGCGCGAAAGCGUGGGGAGCAAAC